rnacentral:rRNA from 1 species
AACGCUGGCGGCAGGCCUAACACAUGCAAGUCGAGCGCGCCUUCGGGCGAGCGGCGGACGGGUUAGUAACGCGUGGGAACGUGCCCAGAUCUACGGAAUAGCCACUGGAAACGGUGAGUAAUACCGUAUACGCCCUUUGGGGGAAAGAUUUAUCGGAUUUGGAUCGGCCCGCGUUAGAUUAGGUAGUUGGUGGGGUAACGGCCUACCAAGCCUACGAUCUAUAGCUGGUUUUAGAGGAUGAUCAGCAACACUGGGACUGAGACACGGCCCAGACUCCUACGGGAGGCAGCAGUGGGGAAUCUUGGACAAUGGGGGCAACCCUGAUCCAGCCAUGCCGCGUGAGUGAAGAAGGCCCUAGGGUCGUAAAACUCUUUCGCCUGUGAUGAUAAUGACAGUAGCAGGUAAAGAAACCCCGGCUAACUCCGUGCCAGCAGCCGCGGUAAUACGGAGGGGGUUAGCGUUGUUCGGAAUUACUGGGCGUAAAGCGCACGUAGGCGGAUUAGAAAGUUAGAGGUGAAAUCCCGGGGCUCAACCCC